GUACUGCAUGUGUAGUAUAAAUAGUUAACUUUGAAACUGCGAAUGGCUCAUUAUAUCAGUUAUAGUUUAUUUGAUGAAGAAUACUAAUUGGAUAACCGUAGUAAUUCUAGAGCUAAUACAUGUAUAAAGUCUUGUAGACUGCAUUUAUUAGAAUGAAAACCAUAGGUUUCGGCCUAUUCGUGAGUAAUAAUAACUAAUCAUAUCGUAUGCUUAUGUAACGAUGUGUCUUUCAAGUUUCUGCCCUAUCAGCUUUCGAUGGUAGUGUAUUGGACUACCAUGGCAGUAACGGGUAACGAAGAA
rnacentral:rRNA from 1 species